rnacentral:rRNA from 1 species
GACGAACGCUGGCGGCGUGCCUAAUACAUGCAAGUCGAACGGGAGCGCCCGGUGCUUGCACUGGUCAAUCUAGUGGCGAACGGGUGAGUAACACGUGGGUAACCUGCCCAUCAGAGGGGGAUAACAUCCGGAAACGGAUGCUAAAACCGCAUAGGUCUUCGAGCCGCAUGGCUUGAAGAGGAAAAGAGGCGCAAGCUUCUGCUGAUGGAUGGACCCGCGGUGCAUUAGCUAGUUGGUUAGGUAACGGCUCACCAAGGCCGUGAUGCAUAGCCGACCUGAGAGGGUGAUCGGCCACAUUGGGACUGAGACACGGCCCAAACUCCUACGGGAGGCAGCAGUAGGGAAUCUUCCGCAAUGGACGCAAGUCUGACGGAGCAACGCCGCGUGAGUGAAGAAGGUUUUCGGAUCGUAAAACUCUGUUGUUAGAGAAGAACAAGUGCUAGAGUAACUGUUAGCGCCUUGACGGUAUCUAACCAGAAAGCCACGGCUAACUACGUG